UACGUAGGGUGCAGGCGUUAAUCGGAAUUACUGGGCGUAAAGCGUGCGCAGGCGGUUUCUUAAGUCAGAUGUGAAAGCCCCGGGCUUAACCUGGGAACUGCGUUUGAAACUGGGAGACUUGAGUGUGGCAGAGGGGGGUGGAAUUCCACGUGUAGCAGUGAAAUGCGUAGAUAUGUGGAGGAACACCGAUGGCGAAGGCAGCCCCCUGGGUCAAGACUGACGCUCAUGCACGAAAGCGUGGGGAGCAAACAGG
rnacentral:rRNA from 1 species